rnacentral:lncRNA from 1 species
CCGGUCCAGCUCCCUGUGACACAGCAGCAUGCAGAACAACCACGGAGGCCAACUGCUACAGCACAGUGACCUGCCGCUGCUGGUGCCUUCCUCCCACCUCCCUCUGCUUAAAAGUCACAUGCGGCUGCUGCUGACCACCCAUCAGGGCGUCGCUGAAAUGUUACAGACCCCAGUAGCAGCGAGCCCCUAUAGGACACGGCGAGCCGGGGUCGGACUGGAGUGGAAACAAAGGCCAGCGACGCGCCGUGUGUCUGCCAGGCAACCCCACGCUAAGAGCCGAGCUCCCCGUACCUCUCGAAAGACGCCGUUUUUAAAAGACAGCUCCUGGCAGCGUGCUGUUCUUCCACUGCAGACAGCUGUUACGGGCCCACCUCCAGAGCCAUUCUUCACCCGGCACCGCGCCUGAGAGGUGGCGCCGAUUGAUGGAGAAGCGUGACUUUUUCUGAUGUCACUGCAAACCUGCCCGCACCAAGCGAGACACAGAAGACAGCCUCGGCUGACUAAGCCCAGCUCGACCUCCAGCAGCGCUGUCCCAAUCAUGCACCACCUCUUGGGAAAUUCCAGUCACAGAGCUAGUGAAAUGACCCAGGAUCAUCUACUGUAAGUAAUGUCUCGGUACAGUAUAAUAUUGC